GCAGUAUGUCCUAGGAACGGUAUGUCCUAGGAACGGUAUGUUUUAGGAACGGUAUGUCGUAGGAACGGUAUGGUCUAGGAACGGUAUGUUUUAGGAACGGUAUGUUCUAAGAACGAUAUGUCCUAGGAACGGUAUGUUUUAGGAACGGUAGGUCCUAGGAAAGGUAUGGUCUAGGAACGGUAUGUCUUAGGAAUAGUAUGUUCUAGGAACGGUACAUCCUAGGAACGGUAUGUCCUAGGAACAUUAUGUCCUAGGAACAUUAUGUCCUAGGAACGGUAUGUCCUAGGAACGGUAUGUUCUAGGAACGGUAUGUCCUAGGAACGGUAGGUCCUAGGAACGGUAUGUUCUAGGAAAGGUAUGUCGUAGGAACGGUAUGGUCUAGGAACGGUAUGUUUUAGGAACGGUAUGUUCUAAGAACGAUAUGUCCUAGGAACGGUAUGUUUUAGGAACGGUAUGUACUAG